rnacentral:lncRNA from 1 species
UUUUACUUGAUUCUAAGCUCAUUCUAAGUCUUAAAGGGUGUAAUUUGGUCUAAAAUGACAUAUGAGAAUAAUUGUUUUUCAACCGUUAUCAGACACCCAUCAAAAUUUUGGCGCCGUUGCCGGGGACCAACGGUUCAGUCUUAGGUCUUUUGUUGUGUUAGUGUGUGUUGUGUUUUGUCUUGUGUUGUGAGUAAGAUGUUCUGUUUUGUGGGUGGUGUCAUGUGUUGUUGCAUUUAGAUAGCUUCAAUUGCAUAUUUUCAUUGCAUUCUUCUUUUCCCCCUUCUUUCUACAUGUCUACCUAUUUUGAUUUUGUGAGUACUGCUUCUUCUGCCUGUGCCUAUGACUAUGAUUCUCCUCCAGCAUCUGACUCUGAUAUUGCUUCUUAUGCAUAUUAUGCUGAUGUCUAUGUUGAGAAUAGUACGGUUCCUCCUCCAUCUCAUGAGAGUGCUCCUAGGGAGCUAUUUCCACUUGAUUUGGAGCAUAUUCGUUAUGUUUUCAACACUAGACUGAUACAUUGGCUCCCU